rnacentral:rRNA from 1 species
UACAGAGGGGGCAAGCGUUGUUCGGAAUUACUGGGCGUAAAGGGCGCGUAGGCGGCCUGUUAAGUCGAACGUGAAAUCCCCGGGCUCAACCCGGGAACUGCGUCCGAUACUGGCAGGCUUGAAUCCGGGAGAGGGAUGCGGAAUUCCACGUGUAGCAGUGAAAUGCGUAGAGAUGUGGAGGAAUACCGAUGGCGAAGGCAGCCCCCUGGGAUAACACUGACGCUCAUGCACGAAAGCGUGGGGAGCAAACAGG